rnacentral:lncRNA from 1 species
AGUGCCGAUUUUAAAAAUCUUUAGUUGAACUUGUCUCCAUCUGAAUAGAAAAAGAAAGAGAAUGGAAUAAUUGUUGUCAUUAUACAAAGCUUCAAGUGGAUUCUCGACGUCAUUUCAAUAAUACAUAAAACUAUUCUAUAAUCCCUCACUAAAACGUCGAGUCUUGGGUCUUGCUCCACGAAAAGUGCGCACUAAACAGCAAAUAACUAAGAACAAAAUAAUU